rnacentral:rRNA from 1 species
GUGAACGCUGGCGGUAGGCCUAAACCAUGCAAGUCGAACGGCAGCACAGUAAGAGCUUGCUCUUACGGGUGGCGAGUGGCGGACGGGUGAGGAAUACAUCGGAAUCUACUUUUUCGUGGGGGAUAACGUAGGGAAACUUACGCUAAUACCGCAUACGACCUACGGGUGAAGGCAGGUGAACUUCGGACCUUGCGCGACUGAAUGAGCCGAUGUCGGAUUAGCUAGUUGGCGGGGUAAAGGCCCACCAAGGCGACGACCCGUAGCUGGUCAGAGAGGAUGAUCAGCCACACUGGAACUGAAACACAGUCCAGACUCCUACGGGAGGAAGCAGUGGGGAAUAUUGGACAAUGGGCGCAAGCCUGAUCCAGACAUACCGCGUGGGUGAAGAAGGCCUUCGGGUUGUAAAGCCCUUUUGUUGGGAAAGAAAAGCAGCAGGUUAAUACCCCGCUGUUCUGACGGUACCCAAAGAAUAAGCACCGGCUAACUACGUG